UCGAAAGGAACGCUACAUACCGACAUACGUCCUACGGGAGCGAAAGUCAGGGGACCUUCGGGCCUUGCGCUAUCAGAUGAGCCUAGGUCGGAUUAGCUAGUUGGUGAGGUAAUGGCUCACCAAGGCGACGAUCCGUAAACUGGUCUGAGAGGAUGAUCAGGUCACACUGGAACUGAGACACGGUCCAGACUCCUUACGGGAGGCAGCAGUGGGGAAUAUUGGACAAUGGGCGAAAGCCUGAUCCAGCCAUGCCGCGUGUGUGAAGGAAGGUCUUCGGAUUGUAAAGCACUUUAAGUUGGGAGGAAGGGCAGUAAAUUAAUACUUUGCUGUUUUUGACGUUACCGACAGAAUAAGCACCGGCUAACUCUGUGCCAGCAGCCGCGGUAAUACAGAGGGUGCAAGCGUUAAUCGGAAUUACUGGGCGUAAAGCGCGCGUAGGUGGUUCGUUAAGUUGGAUGUGAAAUCCCCGGGCUCAACCUGGGAACUGCAUCCAAAACUGGCGAGCUAGAGUAUGGUAGAGGGUGGUGGAAUUUCCUGUGUAGCGGUGAAAUGCGUAGAUAUAGGAAGGAACACCAGUGGCGAAGGCGACCACCUGGACUGAUACUGACACUGAGGUGCGAAAGCGUGGGGAGCAAACAGGAUUAGAUACCCUGGUAGUCCACGCCGUAAACGAUGUCUACUAGCCGUUGGGAGCCUUGAGCUCUUAGUGGCGCAGCUAACGCAUUAAGUUGACCGCCUGGGGAGUACGGCCGCAAGGUUAAAACUCACAUGAAUUGACAGGGGCCCGCACAAGCGGUGGAGCAUGUGGUUUAAUUCGAAGCAACGCGAAGAACCAUACCAGGCCCUUGACAUCCAAUGAACUUUCCAGAGAUGAAUUGGUGCCCUUCUGGCAACAUUGAGACAGGUGCUGCAUGGCUGUCAGUCAUCUUCGUGUCGUGAGAUGCUGGGUUUAGUUCCCGUAACGACCGCACCCCUCGUCCUUACUUACCAGCACGUUAUGGUGGGCACUCUAGGGAGACUGCCGGUGAACAACCGCAGGAAUGUGGGGAUGACGUUGCAGGUCAUCCAUGCCCUUUACGUCUGGGCCUACACACGUGCUACAAUGGAUCCGUACCAGAGGGGUGCCAAGCCGCGAGGGUGAACUAAUCACAUGAAACCGAUCUCAUUACAGUAUCGCAAUCUCGGAACUCGCACUGCUGUGAACGUCUGCAUCUGCCUGGUAAUUGGCUC
rnacentral:rRNA from 1 species